GGGCCCGCACAAGCAGUGGAGCAUGUGGUUUAAUUCGAUGCAACGCGAAGAACCUUACCUAGACUUGACAUCCUGUGCUACAUUCAGAGAUGAAUGGUUCCCUUCGGGGACGCAGUGACAGGUGCUGCAUGGCUGUCGUCAGCUCGUGUCGUGAGAUGUUCGGUUAAGUCCGGCAACGAGCGCAACCCACAUCCCUAGUUGCCAGCAGUUCGGCUGGGCACUCUAUGGAAACUGCCCGUGAUAAGCGGGAGGAAGGUGUGGAUGACGUCAAGUCCUCAUGGCCCUUACGGGUUGGGCUACACACGUGCUACAAUGGCAUCUACAGUGGGUUAAUCCCCAAAAGAUGUCUCAGUUCGGAUUGUCGUCUGCAACUCGACGGCAUGAAGUCGGAAUCGCUAGUAAUCG
rnacentral:rRNA from 1 species